rnacentral:rRNA from 1 species
UGGUGGAGUGAUUUGUCUGGUUAAUUCCGAUAACGAACGAGACCCCGGCCUACUUACUAGAUCACGGAUCCUUUCGUCCGUGCCGUCUUCUUAGAGG